GCUGAGUAGGUGGGGCGGGGCCGAGUGUGGGUGAAUUUGUCCAAAUGCAAAAGACAUGCAUCUCAUUAACCAGCCUGAUAAUAGCUCAUUUCUAAUUGUAUUAAUUUCUCUAAACUCUGAAUAAAACUACCUACUCCACAGUAGACCUAUACAGUAGUAGACCAUAUAGACAAUCUACCCUAUUUAAAAACAGACUGAAGACAGAAACAGACCAUUUGGUUCCAUUUCAACAUAUUUAUUAUUUUAUUAGUUCAACGUUUUUUAAAGUGUUUAAAUCAAAAGGCUAUUGGACAGAAAAACUUGAGCAUUCGGUGCAUCGCGAAUUAGGAACCGCUGGACAGCAACGUAAUAAACGAACGCGCUGAUCAUUGGGAACGAGAUCAGAAUGACUGCUAAGGCCUGAUCCAUAAAUUAAAUCAUUCAAUAGGUAGCCUAGCCUACAAAACUAAAACAAAAGGCCUGAUUCACAUGACAUCAAUACCACAGCAACAUCCCAAGUCCCCGGUGUCGACACGUUCAGAAAUCAAAAGAUAAUUUUAAAACUCUGACGAAGACCAAGAGAACAAGAAACACUUUUCAGAGAGGAAACAAAAAUCCACUUUGGGCAAUUAGGAGUCACAGCCGCCUCUCCCCCUCCAUGGAUGAGGCAGCCAGCUGACAAGGCUGCUGUGGUUCCCGCCAAUGGCGGAGGUUGGACUAUGGCUGGCAAAAGAAGCAUCCAGAUUCAGACUUACGGGGUUCCAUGGCCAAGACAAAGACCCGAAGACAUUCAAGCAGCACUUUGAGAGUAAGCAUCCCAGUACUGGUUGAUGUGCUGGCCUAAGUGGACCAAAUGGACCUACUGCUGGGACAGACGAUGACCACGAUUUGAAAUCUGCAACUGAGAUGGAAUAACAUUGAGGGACACACGCUGACACCGAGUAUGACUGGACAUGGGCCGGAUAUUUGGGACAACAACCUGAAAGGGGUGCAUAAGCACACCAGCACCCCAAUUUAUGUUAUUCCAUGGCCAACCAUCCCACUAGCUACCCCUUAUUCCACACUAUGCCGUGUAUGCCCCCUCAACUCCAGACACUUUGGAACUAUCCACCUUCCCAACCUACCUUCACUGAUUUUCGCUAUGCUGCUUCCUUCACUUGUUCUUCUAAUAGCAUCUAGAAUCAGUAACACCUUUAAAUGUGGUCCUGCUUUAAAUGACGUUCUGCUUAUAAAGCCUUCAUAAUGCCGUCAUAAGCACAACACAAGUGUUGCAAAGCAUCUAUAACCGUAUGUCAUGCUUUAUAAAGGGUUCAUAAAUGUGGCAUAACUGUGUUACAUAAUCACCCAUGUCAAAUGUGACAACACUUAUGUUGAAUAUGAUACAAUCAAGUGCUUUAUAACGGGUGACAUGUUGUGUUGCGUUGGCACAGGAUGGCACAUGCGCUACAGUGAAGUCAUGUUAGCCACAUUACACCUAAUCUCGAUCCCAGACACCCAAAUGCACAGAAGGUCUAGUGGACCAAUGCAUGAAACUUGGCCUUCAUUAGUUAGGGUUGGGUUUCACAUGAAAUUUGAAUCAGAUUGAUUGAGGAAAUGGGCAGUGAUUAGCCAUAAUUAUGACUCUGUGGCUGUACUUCAUAAGUCAUCAGAACCUUAAUGACCUAUUUAAGGACACUUUAUCUGGUGUCCUGUAAUACUUUGUUUGAAGUGAUACAACUUCGGUCAUUCAUAACACAUCCGUAAAGACUCUAUAUCCCAUAGCGCUGUACUUUAAAGUCUCCUUUAGUCAUUCAUAGCACAUACAUAAAUGCCUUGUAUCAUAUGACGCUGUACUUACUAUAAAGUCAGACACAUUUGGUCAUUUCUAAACACACAUAGAUGCCUUGUAUCAUAUGACGCUGUACUUACUAUAAAG